rnacentral:rRNA from 1 species
GAUGAACGCUGGCGGCGUGCCUAAUACAUGCAAGUCGAGCGAACAGACGAGGAGCUUGCUCCUCUGACGUUAGCGGCGGACGGGUGAGUAACACGUGGAUAACCUACCUAUAAGACUGGGAUAACUUCGGGAAACCGGAGCUAAUACCGGAUAAUAUAUUGAACCGCAUGGUUCAAUAGUGAAAGACGGUUUUGCUGUCACUUAUAGAUGGAUCCGCGCCGCAUUAGCUAGUUGGUAAGGUAACGGCUUACCAAGGCAACGAUGCGUAGCCGACCUGAGAGGGUGAUCGGCCACACUGGAACUGAGACACGGUCCAGACUCCUACGGGAGGCAGCAGUAGGGAAUCUUCCGCAAUGGGCGAGAGCUUGACGGAGCAACGCCGCGUGAGUGAUGAAGAUCUUCGGAUCGUAAAACUCUGUUAUUAGGGAAGAACAAAUGUGUAAGUAACUAUGCACGUCUUGACGGUACCUAAUCAGAAAGCCACGGCUAACUACGUG